GGCGGCGUGCUUAACACAUGCAAGUCGAACGGAGCGAAUGAAAGCUUGCUUUUAUGAGCUUAGUGGCGAACGGGUGAGUAACGCGUAAUCAACCUGCCCUUCAGAGGGGGACAACAGUUGGAAACGACUGCUAAUACCGCAUACGAUCUAACCUUGGCAUCGAGGAUGGAUGAAAGGUGGCCUCUAUUUAUAAGCUAUCACUGAAGGAGGGGAUUGCGUCUGAUUAGCUAGUUGGAGGGGUAACGGCCCACCAAGGCGAUGAUCAGUAGCCGGUCUGAGAGGAUGAACGGCCACAUUGGGACUGAGACACGGCCCAGACUCCUACGGGAGGCAGCAGUGGGGAAUCUUCCGCAAUGGACGAAAGUCUGACGGAGCAACGCCGCGUGAGUGAUAACGGCCUUCGGGUUGUAAAGCUCUGUUAAUCGGGACGAAAGGCCUUC
rnacentral:rRNA from 1 species